UAUAGUACAUAUUGCGGCAGAAGCUCUGUACGCCGACGCUCGCCAAAGGCCGUGGGCGAGUCCACUUUGUCUUUACUCCCCUUCUUCUCCGAUUUGCUUGGAGACGUUCUCUCUCUUUGAAAUCGUCCACCUAGAUUGACGUUCCAAAUUUUACCGGCACUAUGGAGACUCAAGAAAGAAGAUUUUCCAAGUUCAUUUUGUUCGACCUUCAUAAAAUGCAAUUUUAAAUUUGUUUUUGACACCAAGCCAGGGCUCCUGUACUGGACCGACAGCAGCGGACACAUCAUGCCUCCUGAUCCUGACCUAGUUCGGAGCAAGACGAGGGCUUCGCCCCCGGACUAAACCAGGCCUAACCACAACCAACUCGCAGCGGAAGGACUUCACCCAGAAACAUUCUACGAGAACUUUGGCCUUCUUCACCUCUACAAACCAGGUGCUAUCUACUCCAUGUUAUCAUUAUUAUUCCAACGUUUGCAUUCAGCCUACCUUCAAGAACAGUUCAUUUAUAUCAAGUUUUUCCCCAAUUUAAAGUUUUACCGUUUCAAUUUCUUAAACUCUGUAGCCUAGCAAAUUGAGCUUAGUGUUUCCCUAACUAGGCCUACUUCUUAUUUCUGGACUAAACUACAGACUAAUAAUCCCCUUGUGUUUUACUGUUUCAAAAUAAAUGUUUUUAUUUCGCUAUCGCUGCGAGUUGAGUUGUGGAACUGGAACUAACAAAAGUCAACAAGAAUACAUUAUUUAUAUCACGGGUCUACGAGUUUUUUUUUUAAAAGCUACAAGAAUUCAUGUAUUUAGUAGGGGGUCACAUUUCCUUGUUAUUUCAUUAUUUUGUGUAUGUACCAUGUUAUGUUAGUAAUAGGCUAAAAAUUUCUGUUCUAACGGGGAAACUUUCGGCCCAAUUGUUCUAAAUUUCAUUUCGGUUCACGCCAGUACUAAAUUCUUCCCCACAAUUUUUGCCAUUUUAAAAAUUCUAUUUCUUACUGUUUAAAUUAGAAUUCUAUUCUGAUGUUAGUGUAUAUUUGUGUAUAAUUGUCUUAUGUUGCUAUUUAAAUAUUUUCAUGUCAAUGUUGAGUGUAAUUUUGAACUGUAAGGUUGUUCGAACGUUUUUCUUUAAACGCAACUUGUUAUUGAUAUUUUGGUCAAAUACUAUUUUUAAAUGAUUUCAUUGUAAGGUCAUUUCAAUUCAACGUCUGUUUUAUGUAAUAUUUUCAAUUUCUUGCCUUUUAAGAUUCAUAUUUUUAAAUUUAUCAUUGUCCUAAACCUUUUCCGAGUAGGCCUAACCUAACUUAAAGUAAGGAUUUUCUUCUAGUUACCAGCUUGGUCCUUAAACUUAAACUUGAACUUCAACUUUUGGUAAAGUUUAUAUAUACAUAAAUGUUUUAAAUGUUUUGGUAAAUGAUUUAGGCCUAACACUGGUAUUGAUUUACAUUCUAAGCCUUGUACCAAUUUGUAUAUAUUAUUUCGCUGUUGUUUAAGGGCGCAUAUUUGUUAAUAUUUUUAAUUGAGUUGGUAAUAAAAGAUGUUAAUCACU